rnacentral:rRNA from 1 species
UACGGGGGGGGUAAGCGUUGUUCGGAAUUACUGGGCGUAAAGGGCUCGUAGGCGGCCAACUAAGUCAUACGUGAAAUCCCUCAGCUUAACUGGGGAACUGCGUGUGAUACUGGAUGGCUUGGAUUUGGGAGAGGGAUGCGGAAUUCCAGGUGUAGCGGUGAAAUGCGUAGAGAUGUGGAGGAACACCGAUGGCGAAGGCAGCCUCCUGGGCCAACACUGACGCUCAUGCACGAAAGCGUGGGGAGCAAACAGG